rnacentral:rRNA from 1 species
AACGAACGCUGGCGGCAUGCCUAACACAUGCAAGUCGAACGAGACCUUCGGGUCUAGUGGCGCACGGGUGCGUAACGCGUGGGAACCUGCCCUUAGGUUCGGAAUAACUCCCCGACAGGGGUGCUAAUACCGGAUAAUGUCUUCGGACCAAAGAUUUAUCGCCUUUGGAUGGGCCCGCGUUGGAUUAGCUAGUUGGUAGGGUAAAAGCCUACCAAGGCGACGAUCCAUAGCUGGUCUGAGAGGAUGAUCAGCCACACUGGGACUGAGACACGGCCCAGACUCCUACGGGAGGCAGGAGUGGGGAAUAUUGGACAAUGGGCGAAAGCCUGAUCCAGCAAUGCCGCGUGAGUGAUGAAGGCCUUAGGGUUGUAAAGCGCUUUUACCCGGGAUGAUAAUGACAGUACCGGGAGAAUAAGCUCCGGCUAACUCCGUG